GACGAACGCUGGCGGCGUGCCUAAUACAUGCAAGUCGAGCGCUGAAGGUUGGUACUUGUACCAACUGGAUGAGCAGCGAACGGGUGAGUAACGCGUGGGGAAUCUGCCUUUGAGCGGGGGACAACAUUGGGAAACGAAUGCUAAUACCGCAUAAAAACUUUAAACACAAGUUUUAAGUGUGAAAGAUGCAAUUGCAUCACUCAAAGAUGAUCCCGCGUUGUAUUAGCUAGGUGGUGAGGUAAAGGCUCACCAAGGCGAUGAUACAUAGCCGACCUGAGAGGGGGGUCGGCCACACUGGGACUGAGACACGGCCCAAACUCCUACGGGAGGCAGCAGUAGGGAAACGUCGGGCAGGGGCGAAAGUCAUACCGAGCAACGCCGCGGGAGUGAAGAAGGUUGUCGGGUCGGAAAACUCUGUUGGUAGGGAAGAACGUUGGUGAGAGUGGAACGCUCAUCAAGUGACGGUAACUACCCAGAAAGGGACGGCUAACUACGUG
rnacentral:rRNA from 1 species